ensembl:lncRNA
GGUUAAAGUGAUGGUGAAGUGACGGUUAAAGUGAUGGUUAAAGUGGUGGUAAAGUGAUGGUUAAAGUGAUGGUGAAGAAAUGGUUAAAGUGAUGGUGAAGUGAUGGUUAAAGUGAUGGUAAAGUGAUGGUUAAAGUGAUGGUGAAGUGAUGGUUAAAGUGAUGGUUAAAGUGAUGGUUAAAGUGAUGGUUAAAGUGAUGGUUAAAGUGAUGGUGAAGUGAUGGUUAAAGUGAUGGGAAAGUGAUAGUUAAAGUGAUGGUAAAGUGAUGGUUAAGUGAUGGUUAAAGUGAUGGUCAAGUGAAGGUCAAGUGAUGGUUAAAGUGAUGGUUAAAGUGAUGGUAAAGUGAUGGUUAAGUGAUGGUUAAAGUGAUGGUAAAGUGAUUGUCAAGUGAAGGUUAAAGUGAUGGUUAAAUGAUGGUUAAAGUGAUGGUCAAGUGAAGGUCAAGUGAUGGUUAAAGUGAUGGUUAAAGUGAUG